rnacentral:hammerhead_ribozyme from 1 species
AUUCAUCUGAUGAGUCUUGAGUAGGACGAAAUGUGCAUCAUGAAU